rnacentral:rRNA from 1 species
GUGUCAGCAGCCGCGGUAAUACGAAGGGGGCUAGCGUUGUUCGGAUUUACUGGGCGUAAAGCGCACGUAGGCGGAUCGUUAAGUCAGGGGUGAAAUCCCAGAGCUCAACUCUGGAACUGCCCUUGAUACUGGCGAUCUUGAGUCCGGAAGAGGUGAGUGGAACUCCUAGUGUAGAGGUGGAAUUCGUAGAUAUUAGGAAGAACACCAGUGGCGAAGGCGGCUCACUGGUCCGGUACUGACGCUGAGGUGCGAAAGCGUGGGGAGCAAACAGGAUUAGAAACCCUUGUAGUCC